UACAGAGGUCUCAAGCGUUGUUCGGAUUCAUUGGGCGUAAAGGGUGCGUAGGUGGCGUCGUAAGUCAGGUGUGAAAUCUCGGGGCUCAACCCCGAAACUGCACUUGAUACUGCGAUGCUCGAGUACUGGAGAGGAGAUUGGAAUUUACGGUGUAGCAGUGAAAUGCGUAGAUAUCGUAAGGAAGACCAGUGGCGAAGGCGAAUCUCUGGACAGUUACUGACGCUGAGGCACGAAGGCCAGGGGAGCAAACGGG
rnacentral:rRNA from 1 species